GCUCCUCUGAUUUCUCACAUAUUUUCCCAAACUUUCCAUUUGGGAUUUGUUUAAACCCGAUUUCAUCAUCUGGGUUGGUCUCACCGAGGCUCCGUCAACUCUCUCCAGGUUGAUGGUGACACUGGUGACGGGCUGAGUGCAGAUGGAAAUGAUGACUUAGGUCUAAUGGCGGGCCACGCGAUAAACACAAGUUGGCUGGACAGCACAUGUUGUCGAGUGCGCAUGAUUACAGUCCCACCCACAUUCUGCUGCACAUGUGAAAACCCACCGAAACAUUUAAAAUAAAAAUUUUUUUUUUUUUUUUUUUAAAAAAAAAGGAUCACUCAGCAAUGGCAUAAGCGAAAGAAUAAGCGAUAAAGAUCUCUACUCCCUUAUCUUUCCUAUUAUUUCCUAUUAUAUUUAUCUGCUUUUCUUUUACUAACCAUUAACAAAAAU
rnacentral:lncRNA from 1 species